rnacentral:rRNA from 1 species
UACGAAGGGGGCUAGCGUUGUUCGGAAUUACUGGGCGUAAAGCGCGCGCAGGCGAUUUUUCAAGUCAGUGGUGAAAGCCCGGAGCUCAACUCCGGAAAUGCCAUUGAAACUGUUAAACUUGAGGACGAGAGAGGUGAGUGGAAUUCCCAGUGUAGAGGUGAAAUUCGUAGAUAUUGGGAAGAACACCGGUGGCGAAGGCGGCUCACUGGCUCGUUUCUGACGCUCAGGCGCGACAGCGUGGGGAUCAAACAGG